AACGAACGCUAGCGGCAUGCCUAACACAUGCAAGUCGAACGAGACCUUCGGGUCUAGUGGCGCACGGGUGCGUAACGCGUGGGAACCUGCCUUUAGGUUCGGAAUAACUCAGAGAAAUUUGAGCUAAUACCGGAUGAUGUCUUCGGACCAAAGAUUUAUCGCCUUUAGAUGGGCCCGCGUUGGAUUAGCUAGUUGGUGGGGUAAAGGCCUACCAAGGCGACGAUCCAUAGCUGGUCUGAGAGGAUGAUCAGCAACACUGGGACUGAGACACGGCCCAGACUCCUACGGGAGGCAGCAGUGGGGAAUAUUGGACAACGGGCGAAAGCCUGAUCCAGCAAUGCCGCGUGAGUGAUGAAGGCCUUAGGGUUGUAAAGCUCUUUUACCCGAGAUGAUAAUGACAGUAUCGGGAGAAUAAGCUCCGGCUAACUCCGUGCCAGCCGCCGCCGUAAUAC
rnacentral:rRNA from 1 species